GCCUGCAGAUAACUUUACAAGAAAGGAGAAGGGAGUCAAAGGACGGCAUCAGACGAACCCCAGGAAUGACUCAAACCAUAAUGCCAGUGCAGUAUAAAUUCGUCACUUCUCCUCUCCGACUGGAUAUCAAAACUUCCCCCCAUCCUAGCUCAUACGUUUCAUCUCUGCCCCGUUUUUUCGUUGCGGAGGACAUGAGAUGGAAGAAACCGAAAUAGCGGCGGAGCUUUCGCCUGCAAGAUUCACCAUUACGACAGUACUCGCCAAUCAUUACUUGAAGCCCAAACGAAGAACAAAUAGCAUAGUCCCAUUCGCCUGUGUUUCCUCUCUGGAAAAUGCGGGCAGGAUCAUGCACGAAUAUCACCUAAAUGCCACUCCUCCCUGGCCUUUCGUCCCUAGAGCAGGGAAUACAAGAUGAGAAGGCUGAUAAGUAGAUGAUGUGAUAGUUUCGAGUGAAACUUAGAUGUGAGAAGAUUAUGCGAUUCUAAGAAGAUUAAGACGCCUCAGAGACGUUGAACUGUGUUCGGUUACAUUGUUGAAGAGAAUUUCAACAAAGGCAGCAUGCUUAUUGUGGAGCACAAUGAGCUUUGCAUCAGAAACUAAAUUUUACCUUUAUAUUUUUCCUCCCUCGGAUAGUGCUAUCGCACCUUAAUUAGUAGAACAACAUCAGCCCAUCCAACAAUGUAGUAUAAUCAGCAUCUUCUUUCUUUUGGCGAAGCUUACGAAAGCAUAUGAGUAUCUGAUGAAGAGUUCUCAGCUCAAGGACAUAGUCAUAUGAAGACCUUCUGUUCUCAGCUCAAGAAUGUACAGCAGGAAGAGUCAGACUCAACCUCCAAGUUUGAACAUUAGUUGUAUUUCCAGUACUCCCUUUUAGCAUUAUCUCAUGUGCUCACUUAUCUCUAUUUCGAUGUAAUUCUACAACGGAAUCUAUCAUUCCUCUGUAAUGCCAGUUGACGAUGAUAUUUCAAGGAUAAAGAAAUAUGAUUUUUACUGCUGA